rnacentral:ncRNA from 1 species
AUCAGGACGAGGAAGAGAAAAGUACAUAUACUAUUGUAUGUGCAGCGAGCCCGGACGGUGAGAGCGGGUCUUAUGAAGUGUAUGGAAGUGCAUCUCGGAGUUAUUAAGGCAAAGCUAUAGCGAUAUAGGGGAGUCUUAUUCGGGGGUCGCCCGUUAUAGCGAAUCUGUAUAGAAUUAAACAGAUAGGAGUGAAAUGCUCCGGAGAAUAUGUGUUUAAUAGUACAGCAAAGGUUUGAUUGUGCGCACAGUCAAAUGAAACAAGGUGGAACCGCGAUAUAUCGCCCUUGGU